UACGUAGGGUGCGAGCGUUAAUCGGAAUUACUGGGCGUAAAGCGUGCGCAGGCGGUUUUGUAAGCCGGAUGUGAAAUCCCCGGGCUUAACCUGGGAAUGGCAUUUGGGACUGCAAGGCUGGAGUGCGGCAGAGGAGACUGGAAUUCCCGGUGUAGCAGUGAAAUGCGUAGAUAUCGGGAGGAAUACCGAUGGCGAAGGCAGGUCUCUGGGCUGACACUGACGCUCAUGCACGAAAGCGUGGGGAGCAAACAGG
rnacentral:rRNA from 1 species